AUGAACGCUAGCGGCAGGCCUAACACAUGCAAGUCGAGGGGCAUCGGGAUUGAAGCUUGCUUCAAUUGCCGGCGACCGGCGCACGGGUGCGUAACGCGUAUGUAACCUACCUAUAACAGGGGCAUAACACUGAGAAAUUGGUACUAAUUCCCCAUAAUAUUCGGAGAGGCAUCUCUCCGGGUUGAAAACUCCGGUGGUUAUAGAUGGACAUGCGUUGUAUUAGCUAGUUGGUGAGGUAACGGCUCACCAAGGCAACGAUACAUAGGGGGACUGAGAGGUUAACCCCCCACACUGGUACUGAGACACGGACCAGACUCCUACGGGAGGCAGCAGUGAGGAAUAUUGGUCAAUGGACGCAAGUCUGAACCAGCCAUGCCGCGUGCAGGAAGACGGCUCUAUGAGUUGUAAACUGCUUUUGUACGAGGGUAAACUCACCUACGUGUAGGUGACUGAAAGUAUCGUACGAAUAAGGAUCGGCUAACUCCGUGCCAGCAGCCGCGGUAAUACGGAGGAUUCAAGCGUUAUCCGGAUUUAUUGGGUUUAAAGGGUGCGUAGGCGGUUUGAUAAGUUAGAGGUGAAAUCCCGGGGCUUAACUCCGGAACUGCCUCUAAUACUGUUAGACUAGAGAGUAGUUGCGGUAGGCGGAAUGUAUGGUGUAGCGGUGAAAUGCUUAGAGAUCAUACAGAACACCGAUUGCGAAGGCAGCUUACCAAACUAUAUCUGACGUUGAGGCACGAAAGCGUGGGGAGCAAACAGGAUUAGAUACCCUGGUAGUCCACGCAGUAAACGAUGAUAACUCGUUGUCGGCGAUACACAGUCGGUGACUAAGCGAAAGCGAUAAGUUAUCCACCUGGGGAGUACGUUCGCAAGAAUGAAACUCAAAGGAAUUGACGGGGGCCCGCACAAGCGGAGGAACAUGUGGUUUAAUUCGAUGAUACGCGAGGAGCCUUACCCGGGUUUGAACGCAUUCGGACCGAGGUGGAAACACCUUUUCUAGCAAUAGCCGUUUGCGAGGUGCUGCAUGGUUGUCGUCAGCUCGUGCCGUGAGGUGUCGGGUUAAGUCCAAUAACGAGCGCAACCCCUACCGUUAGUUGCCAUCAGGUCAAGCUGGGCACUCUGGCGGGACUGCCGGUGUAAGCCGAGAGGAAGGUGGGGAUGACGUCAAAUCAGCACGGCCCUUACGUCCGGGGCUACACACGUGUUACAAUGGUAGGUACAGAGGGUCGCUACUCCGUGAGGAGAUGCCAAUCUCGAAAGCCUAUCUCAGUUCGGAUUGGAGGCUGAAACCCGCCUCCAUGAAGUUGGAUUCGCUAGUAAUCGCGCAUCAGCCAUGGCGCGGUGAAUACGUUCCCGGGCCUUGUACACACCGCCCGUCAAGCCAUGGAAGCUGGGGGUGCCUGAAGUUCGUGACCGCAAGGAGCGACCUAGGGCAAAACCGGUAACUGGGGCU
rnacentral:rRNA from 1 species